rnacentral:tRNA from 1 species
GACCUGGUGGCAGAGUGACUAUGCACUUCCCUUGCCCGGGGAGAGAGGUUGGGUUCAAAUCCCACCCAGGUCU